rnacentral:rRNA from 1 species
GACGAACGCUGGCGGCGUGCUUAACACAUGCCAGUCGAACGGAAAGGCCCUUCGGGGUUCUCGAGUGGCGAACGGGUGAGUAACAGGUGGGUGAUAUGCACUGCACCUUGGGUUAAGGAUGGGUAAAUGGGUCUAAUACUGAAUAGGAACGGGCGCUUCUUGGUGUGUGGUGGAGAGGUUUUGCGGUGUGGGAUGGGGACGCGGCCUAUCAGCUUGUUGGUGGGGUAAUGGCCUACCAAGGCGACGACGGGUAGCCGGCCUGAGAGGGUGACCGGCCACACUGGGACUGAGAUACGGCCCAGACUCCUACGGGAGGCAGCAGUGGGGAAUAUUGCACAAUGGGCGGAAGCCUGAUGCAGCGACGCCGCGUGAGGGAUGACGGCCUUCGGGUUGUAAACCGCUUUCACCAGGGACGAAGCGCAAGUGACGGUACCGGGAGAAGAAGCACCGGCCAACUACGUG